GUCCCCGUAGCGCAGUGGAUAGCGCGUUGGGCUUCUAAUGCAAAGGUCGUGGGUUCGAAUCCCACCCGGGGUG
rnacentral:tRNA from 1 species